rnacentral:rRNA from 1 species
AGAGUUUGAUCCUGGCUCAGGAUGAACGCUGGCGGCGUGCCUAAUACAUGCAAGUCGAGCGAACGGACGAGAAGCUUGCUUUUCUGAUGUUAGCGGCGGACGGGUGAGUAACACGUGGAUAACCUACCUAUAAGACUGGGAUAACUUCGGGAAACCGGAGCUAAUACCGGAUAAUAUUUUGAACCGCAUGGUUCAAAAGUGAAAGACGGUCUUGCUGUCACUUAUAGAUGGAUCCGCGCUGCAUUAGCUAGUUGGUAAGGUAACGGCUUACCAAGGCAACGAUGCAUAGCCGACCUGAGAGGGUGAUCGGCCACACUGGAACUGAGACACGGUCCAGACUCCUACGGGAGGCAGCAGUAGGGAAUCUUCCGCAAUGGGCGAAAGCCUGACGGAGCAACGCCGCGUGAGUGAUGAAGGUCUUCGGAUCGUAAAACUCUGUUAUUAGGGAAGAACAUAUGUGUAAGUAACUGUGCACAUCUUGACGGUACCUAAUCAGAAAGCCACGGCUAACUACGUGCCAGCAGCCGCGGUAAUACGUAGGUGGCAAGCGUUAUCCGGAAUUAUUGGGCGUAAAGCGCGCGUAGGCGGUUUUUUAAGUCUGAUGUGAAAGCCCACGGCUCAACCGUGGAGGGUCAUUGGAAACUGGAAAACUUGAGUGCAGAAGAGGAAAGUGGAAUUCCAUGUGUAGCGGUGAAAUGCGCAGAGAUAUGGAGGAACACCAGUGGCGAAGGCGACUUUCUGGUCUGUAACUGACGCUGAUGUGCGAAAGCGUGGGGAUCAAACAGGAUUAGAUACCCUGGUAGUCCACGCCGUAAACGAUGAGUGCUAAGUGUUAGGGGGUUUCCGCCCCUUAGUGCUGCAGCUAACGCAUUAAGCACUCCGCCUGGGGAGUACGACCGCAAGGUUGAAACUCAAAGGAAUUGACGGGGACCCGCACAAGCGGUGGAGCAUGUGGUUUAAUUCGAAGCAACGCGAAGAACCUUACCAAAUCUUGACAUCCUUUGACAACUCUAGAGAUAGAGCUUUCCCCUUCGGGGGACAAAGUGACAGGUGGUGCAUGGUUGUCGUCAGCUCGUGUCGUGAGAUGUUGGGUUAAGUCCCGCAACGAGCGCAACCCUUAAGCUUAGUUGCCAUCAUUAAGUUGGGCACUCUAAGUUGACUGCCGGUGACAAACCGGAGGAAGGUGGGGAUGACGUCAAAUCAUCAUGCCCCUUAUGAUUUGGGCUACACACGUGCUACAAUGGACAAUACAAAGGGCAGCGAAACCG